UUAUUUGAAACGGGAUACAACCCCCGACACCGGGUUUAAUCUAGGAUAAUAAAUAAAGUGGGCCUAAAAGCAGCCAUCUUCCAAAAAGCGUUAAAGCUUCAUAUAUUUCAUCUUUAAUUCCGUAAUUUUUACUUAACCCUUCAUUGCUACUGAACUAUUUUAUACCCCUAUAAAAGUUAUCAUGCUAGAACUAGUAACAAGAAAUAGCCUUUCUCCUAAAUGUAUGUUUGAACCAAAAUGGACACUCCACUGGUAAUUAACGUAAAUGUAAAUAUCAUAGUAUACACAGCUAGAAAACCCUAUGUUUGCUCGUCAACCUUACACUAGAACAUUACAGGAAAGAUUAAAAGAGAAAGAAGGAACUCGGCAAAUCACAGUCCCGCCUGUUUACCAAAAACAUCGCCUCUUGACUAAACAUAAGAGGUCCAGCCUGCCCAGUGACAUAGUUUAACGGCCGCGGUACCCUAACCGUGCGAAGGUAGCAUAAUCACUUGUUCUUUAAAUAGGGACUUGUAUCAACGGCAUCACGAGGGCUGUACUGUCUCCUUUCUCCAAUCAGUGAAACUGAUCUCCCCGUGAAGAAGCGGGGAUGAAUCU
rnacentral:rRNA from 1 species